GAACGCCGUGGACACCGGGAACGCCGCGUCCGCACAUGGCCGGCCCGCCCGGGGAUCCCCGGGCGGGCGGCGGAUCGGCCCCGCCGACGUUCACC
rnacentral:tRNA from 1 species